rnacentral:rRNA from 1 species
UACGAGGGGUGCUAGCGUUGUUCGGAAUUACUGGGCGUAAAGCGCACGUAGGCGGACUCUUAAGUCAGGGGUGAAAUCCCGGGGCUCAACCUCGGAACUGCCUUUGAUACUGUGAGUCUCGAGACCGGAAGAGGUGAGUGGAAUUCCUAGUGUAGAGGUGAAAUUCGUAGAUAUUGGGAAGAACACCAGUGGCGAAGGCGGCUCACUGGUCCGGUUCUGACGCUGAGGUGCGAAAGCGUGGGGAGCAAACAGG